UCCUUUUCUGACCUGAAACGCUUUUCAGUUUCAAGAAAAUAGAAACGCUUCCCCUUUCACCUUACCGUCGUUCCUUUUCUCCUUCUCUCAGCCGUUUCUCUAGGUUUCAAAAUCGUUUAAAACCUUCUACGGAGAAGCCGUGUUUGUUGCUUUUCCCUGUUUGGCUCUGAUUUCGUUUAGAUCUGCUGGAAACAUAUGGAACCCCCAACAUAUGCCUUGCGGAUUUGUGGUCGAUGGGUUUCUUUGGAGCUCCUUCAAGCCAUGUUUGUUGCAUAUCAGGCACAUGAUCCUGCGCCGUUUAGAUGACUGAGGUUUGGCACCGGAAAUAGUUCCUUCAAUGGUGGUUGCUGGCUGGGUGACAGGGUUUUCAUGCUGCGUUUGAGUUUUCCUGCAAUUUUUCAGGGAAAUGCACUGCAAAAACGUUUACGACUUUGAUUGCAUCUUCCUCUAGCCCGCGAAUUGCAAUUCAUGCCCUGUUUUUCGCCACGAAUUGCCCUCAGAAGCAAACACCACCACCGCGCGUGCCUUGCCGCCAUAUUUUUUAUUCUUUCUUUAACACUGACCAUGGAGAUUUAUGCAACUAUCUCAUAAAUCUGGAAGGUGGUAGUUGGGGCUUAAAGAGAAAGAUGCAGAAGUUAUGUUUUUAGGCUCCAUUGUGAUUUGGUUACGACCACCUAUGAAAUCUUUUCGCAAGAAGGAUACUACUCUGUUUUUUUCUUGCUGAACAAUAAAUGUUGUGAUUUUUUGUUGCUAAGAUAUGACCCUGUAAAUUAAAUCUACAUAUUUCCCUUUGAUUUCUGUCUUUGCUCACAGAUUUUGGGGUUUAAAAUGAGGGGAAAUCCCUUCGGCUCCAUGCCCAGAGUCUUCCAGGAGAAUGGUGAAGAUGAAGUAAGUUAAAGGAUCAUCUUUUUAGUCUGAAGGAUUUUAUUUUUCACUUUCUCUGGCGGGAAAGUUGUUCAGGCCAUAGUGGGGUAGCUGCAGAACCAUCACAAAAUCUUCCAUUUAGCUACUGGGGAGGGGCCAAGAGUAAUGUUUCUUUUAUUCUCUUCAGCAGAACACUAUUCUUCUUCAAACAUCUGCAGUUUUCUCAAGGGCCUUUGACUCAUCUGUUUCAGUUAAAGACCCUCAUUCUUACUAUGGUGUUGACUUAUGAGGAGUUCGUACCAGGGCCUUCUAAAGUUGAUUUCUUCACCUUUUGACUUAAGUUUUAAUUAACUGGUGAAGAAAUUAUGUUCAAAAAGACAAUAAAGAUUUGAAUUCAAUAUGAUAAAUUUUAUUUUGGGUUA